AAAAAAAUUUAAUGGGAUUUUCUUUUUGUUCAGCUAUUUUAGACAUUUUGGAGUUCAUAGGAACAUUACACCUAACAAAAAAAGUCCCCACGUUUACAUAGUUAAAGAAUAAUAACAUCGCUGUUCCAAACCCCAUUGUUCUUCCACGAUGGUGGCAUAAACCCCUCUAUUUUCUCUGACAAAACAUAUUCGUUCAAAAGCCUGCAAAUAUAUAAUUAUAGAAUGAUGAUUUCAUCUUUUUUUUUGUAACACUGAUGAUUUCAUCUUUAUUUCUUUACUAGAUUUUGACCCGCGCUUUAAAAGCGCGGAAUUUUUAAAAAAAUAUUAUUUUAAAAAAUAUUAUUUUAAAAUGACAAAAUAUUUAUAAUUAUAAAAGUAUGUGGUUUAAUAUUUGAUUAUCUAAUACAAUUAUAGUUUUGCUGAUUUUUUAAGUUAAAAAUAUUAAUAGAUAUUUAAAAUGAUAUAAAAGUUGGAAAUUUAUUUUCAUAUAUUUUUGAGAAAUAAACACUUUAUUCCCAACAGAAAGCAGUUAUCACAACCCAUGCAGUCGCUGUUCACACAAAGUUAGAGAAAAACAAAGGUAUAGAUAUAUCCAUAUCUUUAUUCAGAUAUCUAAAUGCAAGAAUCCUUGCAAAGUCUCAGACGAUGAAUGCAUGAAGUUAUGGUGACAUAGUAGGAGCCAUAGGGUUUUGAUUCUGGAGUGUAAUGGUUUGUGCUAGAAAGCGUUCGACUGCGUUUGACGCAGUCAUAUUUAUAAUAACAAUAGGAAAACGAUUUAGGUGUUUAGGUUAAUAGUAUUUAAGGAAUCACGUGCAGCAUAUUCUAAAAUAUAAACUUGAUAGAUAUUCUGAAUCAAAAUAUAGAUAGUGUCGUUAUUGAUUCAAAUAUUUGCGGAUCCUAUUUUAAUGAUGAGCAAAUUCGGUGAGAUUAUUUUGGAAACAUGUAUUAUAUAUUUUUCUACUUUUCGAUGCUGUUUUAAGAGAAAUUGAUAGAGAUUAUUUUCGAAGUUAAUAUCUAUAUUAUACAAUAUAUUGUGUCUCCCUAUAUUGUAUCAUACAAAUUGUGUAUCUUUUAUUUUUUUCUCAAGUUUGAAACUCAUGAAUUGACCACUCUCAAAAAUAUCUAAAAAAUAUGAAUUUAGAUGAGAAACUUUACGUAAAAAUAUAGAUGAAGAUGGGCGUUCACUAUUUCUAAAAAAAUGAGAUUCUUUUGUUAUGAAUUUGUAAACCGAAGUGUAAUUCUGUUGCUUUUUGAAAAAAUUAUUCAAAUAUAUAGAAUGUUGGAUAACACGUAUAGUACACAUCUGUAAGAAUGAUAUUCGGAAAUGACUAUAUGCAUUACAAUAUGCAGUUUUGAUGUAUGAUAUGAAAACGUAGACACAUUCUUAAUGCCUUAAUACGAAAGAGAAGUGUGUAUGAACCUAACAUUGAUGUUGAGAAGUGUGUAUGAAACUUUGAAUUACUUAUGUAGUAUGAGGAUCAAACUCAAUAACACAUUAACACACUGGUUGGUUUUGAAAAAUAUGUUAAGUGGAGAAUACGUUUGAUUUUGGUCCCACGAGCUGUAUGGAUGGUUCUGAAAAAUAUGUUAAGUGGAGAAUACGUUAGAUUUUUCCUUUGGAAUAUAGUCCUUUAUUUAUUUGUUUUAUUAAUUCAUUAUUGAAAAAAAAUGCAGUGGCAUAUCAUUGUAAUUAACUUUAAAAGGCAGGGGCAGAAUCCUAUUAGGGAUUCUGCUUUAAUAGUAUAGAUAAGCGAUGCUAGCGUUAAUAAGAGGCACUGUAAGUUUGUUACCUGCUUUAUAAUAUUACUGAAUUAAAAAAUUGUGUCAAUGACGUUAUUAGAUAUCCCCUCAAAUGGAGUAAGAAGUC
rnacentral:lncRNA from 1 species